AUUGAACGCUGGCGGCAGGCCUAACACAUGCAAGUCGAACGGUAGCACAGAGAGCUUGCUCUCGGGUGACGAGUGGCGGACGGGUGAGUAAUGUCUGGGAAACUGCCCGAUGGAGGGGGAUAACUACUGGAAACGGUAGCUAAUACCGCAUAACGUCGCAAGACCAAAGUGUGGGACCUUCGGGCCUCACACCAUCGGAUGUGCCCAGAUGGGAUUAGCUAGUAGGUGGGGUAAUGGCUCACCUAGGCGACGAUCCCUAGCUGGUCUGAGAGGAUGACCAGCCACACUGGAACUGAGACACGGUCCAGACUCCUACGGGAGGCAGCAGUGGGGAAUAUUGCACAAUGGGCGCAAGCCUGAUGCAGCCAUGCCGCGUGUAUGAAGAAGGCCUUCGGGUUGUAAAGUACUUUCAGCGGGGAGGAAGGCGGUGGAGUUAAUAACUUCACCGAUUGACGUUACCCGCAGAAGAAGCACCGGCUAACUCCGUGCCAGCAGCCGCAGUAA
rnacentral:rRNA from 1 species